ensembl:rRNA 5S_rRNA 5S ribosomal RNA
GUAUUGGGUUAUACCACCUUGAACACACCCAGUCUCGUUUAAUCUCAGAAGCUAAAUAGGGUCAGGCUUCCUUAGUACCUGGUUGGGAGACUGCCUGGGAAUACUGGGUGCUAUGGGCU